AGAUUUUGUAUCCUGUGCGCGGGCUGGACUGGUAGGAAAUAUCGGGAAAUUUCCCGAAAAAUCGGAAAAAAAAUCGGCGAUACAAACUGAAAAUUCGCCGAUAAAUUGCAGUGUCCGGCGAUUUUUUGAAGAUUUCGCCGAUUUUUCGCCUGCAUCCAUUUUCGGCGAUUUUGCCGCCGAUUUUAACCGAAAUUUGGCGAAAUUUCUCCCAUCGACAUUUCGCCCCCCUCUUUCGUAUCGCCGGCCACCGAAACCCGAAUUUCGGCGAAAAAAAUGGAAACUUUCAUCCUUGGUUCUUCCCAAGUGCUUCAUAGAAUCAGAGCUGGGUGGCACUGAAAUUCGGUAGGUUGCCCAGCUUCUCGGCACAGCACAGCACCCGAAUCGCUAAUUGCAUGGUAAAAUCACUACUCCAAUCUCAGAAAAAUGAAAAUGGCGAUGAACAAACUCCGUAAAACCCUACCAAAACCUCUUCACCCUCCGUCACAAUUCACUCCUCCAACUUCAAGCCCUAACCUCAUUUCUUCCACUCCCAUCCCCACACUGUCUCUUGCAAACACAUCCCACCAUCAACUCCACCAAUUCCUCAAAGCCCACCUCACUCCCUCCUUCACACCCCGAGACCUCCUAAUCUUCCUCAAGAACAAGCUCCAUUACCAUCCCAAAUUUUCCCACUUCGACCUCCACAUCUUCACAUGGGCCGCCACCAUCGACUCCUUCCGCCACGACCACUCCACCUAUGAGUGGAUGGUCAAAACUCUUGCCAUCACCGACCGUUUCGAUGAUCUUCACUCUCUCCUUCAAGGUAUGGUCUCCAACCCCUGUCCCUGUUCCGAUGGAAUUUUCUCCUGCCCGAGGUCUGAACCCAUUUUCAGAUUUGCGCUAAAUGCUUUUUGUAGGGUUGGGAGGUUGGAGGAUGCUGAGAUUGCUUUUGCAAGUAUGCGAAGAAUGAUUGAUGGGAAACCUAGUGUAGCAAUGCAUAAUAUUUUGAUUAAUGGGUAUGUCAAAUGUAGAGAGCAUGAGAAAGUGAUGACUGUUUAUGAGAAGAUGAUUAAGGAUAGGGUCAAGCCUGAUGUCUUUACAUUCAAUAGCUUGAUCAGUAGUUGUUGUCGGAAUUCACAGUUCGGGUUGGCUCUGGAAAUGUUUAAAGAGAUGAAGGAUAAGGGAUGUAGUCCUAAUGUUGUUAGUUUUAACACUUUGAUUAAGGGGUCUUUCAGGGAAAGGAAGUUUGAAGAGGGGGUUGGGAUGGCAUAUGAGAUGCUUGAGUUGGGAUGUGAGUUUUCAAAUGUGACUUGUGAAAUUCUAGUGGAUGGGCUCUGCAGGGAAGGUAGGGUUUUAGAGGCAUGUGAUCUCUUGAUUGAUUUUUCAGGGAAAGGAGCAUUGCCUAAUGGGUUUGAUUAUUUUUGUCUCAUUGAGGCGCUUUGUGGUGAAGAAAAUGUGGAUCGGGCAUUGGAACUAUUGGAUCAGCUAUGGAGGAAAGGAAAUGCACCAAGCUCGAUUGCAUGUACUACUUUGAUAGAAGGAUUGAGGAGGUUCGGAAAAACAGAAGAAGCAUUUCAAUUAAUGGAAAAGAUGCUGAGAGAGGGCAUUCUUCCAGAUAGUGUGACUUGCAAUUGUUUGCUUCAGGAUCUUUGUGAGGUGGGGAGAAGUUUUGAAGCAAAUAAGUUGAGGUUGUUGGCCUCUAGCAAGGGUUUGGAUUCAGAUGGCAUGACCUUUAACAUUCUAGUUAAUGGGUAUUCCAGGGAAGGUAAAAGGAAGGAGGGGAAACGUUUGUUGGAUGAGAUGUUAGAUUUGGGGUUUAUACCUGAUCUUGCCUCAUAUAACAGGUUGAUGAAUGGGCUUUCUAAUGGAGGAAGCUCUCACCGACAUAAGUAAACCUUAUUACCAAAUGAAGACAUUGAAAUUUUCAGGCUGCAUUUUGUAGCGGUUGUAAUAUUUACUUGGGAUUGAAGGGGUUGUGGCUCCAUUUACAAGGAAGACAUGGUGUUGCCCUCGAGGAGAAGGAAAGUUCAAAGGGAAUGAGAUGAACUAAAAAAAUUGAACCAUUGUAAUGGUUGGUGUAAUCAUGGACUUUGAGCUGGAGCUCUGGAACCAUCAGUUAAGUUUGGAUGCAAUGCAAGCAUGAAGUGAUUGCUAAGCAGUUUUACUAAGACUUGGAGUUUCGUAGCAAUUGAGUUGGAGGAUUUCUUUUUACCUACAAACCAACUGAAUAGGGAGGGGGUUGAACAGCUGCUACUUGAAUCCAGCAAAGAUCAUGCCAUCAUCUGUGAUUUGGAUACCCUUGAAAAAAUUGCAGUGAGAGGGUUGUCUCUUGCUUUGUCUCAUGGAGAGUGCUUUGGUAUGUUUGGUCCCAAUGGUGCAGACAAAAACUCUUUCAUUAGUAUGGCAGUGGAAGAAUUUGUUGAGUGUCAACCUACUUCAUGGAGGGGCUGGUGACAAGCAGGCUCGAAAAUACAGGGGAGAGAUGAACAGGAGGCUUUUGUUGCCAUUUCAAUGAUUGAAGAUCCCAAAGUAUAUGUUAACCUUCAUACCAAUGUUUUAAAAGUUGGACUAGGCCGGCUAGUUCAAUUAGUCAAACCAUCGACUGGAGCCAAUUUGGGCUUUGGCCUGGAAUAAUACAUACUAAACCAGCAUCGAGCUGGGUGAAUUGGCAGUUGAACCGCUGAAACAGGGAACAGACUAGUCGGUUUUA